GGUAUUUAUGACAUCGUAUGGUAUGACAUUAAUUAUUGAUAUAGGUUAGCAGCCAAUGUAAUAUCUGUUCUAAAGAGUCUCUAUUUCAAAUAUUGCAUUGUUUUUUAUCCUACCAGUUCUAUGGACUAGAAAAAAAGUCAUCCAUUUUGAUGGAAACAAAAUGGAUUUUAUUUCAUACAUGGAACCAUAUGGCUCACUGAUUAUAGGAUUAAACUAAAUGAAGAUGCUUGUUAUGAAUGUACAUUACUGAUCACACUGCGCUUGGUAUUAGAAAUUUUCCUUUGUUAGUUUAACUGGAGUAGCCUGUAUGUGUUCUUUUUUGAGAUAAUUGACUGAUUAAUGUUGUAAGUAACAGUAAUCGUAGUGUUCAAUUGCAUUGUCUAAAGUGGCAUGUUGCAUUUACUCUUUCCUUCCUUAUCUUAUCAGCAUCACAGUCUGUAAAGAAAAUCAUUGAAAUCAAUCCUUACAUGCUUGGCACUAUGGUUGGAGGAGUUGCUGACUGUCAGUUUUGGCACAGAAAUCUGGGCAUUAAGUGCCGAUUGCACGGAUUGGCAAACAAGCGCAGAAUUUCAGUCACAAGGGCAUUAAAGCUGUUGGCAAACAUUCUGUACUCUUACUGUUGAAUGGGUCUGUCUAUUGGGACCACGAUUGCUGGAUGGGAUGAGAUUGUAAAGACACAUGACUGUAUCAUGUCAUGUUAUUAUGUACUCUUUUAAGCAGACUCUUGUAAUUUGUAUUUUCUAUGGGUUGUAGAUAGUAUUACUUUCCUUUAAAUAUCAGAUAUAAGAGCAAACAAUAAAGGACUGGGAAAAUAUAUAAAAUAUAUAAAAUAAAGGACUGGGAAAAUCCUUUCCUUUUGGACUUGAAUUUUGCUUUAAAUCACCCAUACUUGCUCCUCCAAACUCCUUCUCCCUGCUUUCUGUCCAGGUUUAUGGAUGUAUGAGUGGACUGAAUUGAGGGCUAAGCAUUGAAAUUUGAAAGA